UAAAUUGUAAAAUUUAAAUAUUAAAGUAGUAAUAGUUAUAUUCUUGAAACUUAAAAAAUUUGGCGGUAUUUUAUUCUAAUUAGAGGAAUUUGUUCUAUAAUCGAUAAUCCGCGUUAAAUCUUACUUAAAUUAAUAAUUUGUAUAUCGUUGUCAUCAGAAUAUUUUUGAAAAAUAAAUAAUUUUCUAAAAUUUUAAUUUGAAAUUAUGUCAAAUCAAGAUGCAGUUUAUAUUUAAGAAAGAAAUGAAUUACAAUAAUUUAAAUUAAAUGAAUUAUUAAUUGAAAAAUUAAUUUGAAGGUGGAUUUAAUUGUAAAAUAAUUUUAGUAUAAUUAUUUGAUAUAAGUUUUAAAAUAUGU
rnacentral:rRNA from 1 species